rnacentral:rRNA from 1 species
GUGGGGAAUAUUGGGCAAUGGGGGAAACCCUGAUCCAGCGACGCCGCGUGAAGGAUGAAGGCCUUCGGGUUGUAAACUUCUUUUGGAGGGGACGAAUAAAUUGACGGUACCCUCAGAAAAAGCCACGGCUAACUACGUGCCAGCAGCCGCGGUAAUACGUAGGUGGCGAGCGUUACUCGGAAUUACUAGGCGUAAAGUGUAUGUAGGCGGUUGUAUAAGUCUAUGGUGAAAUUUCCUGGCUCAACUGGGAAGGGACAUAGAUACUGUAUGGCUUGAGUGUUGGAGGGGGAGACGGAAUUCCUGGUGUAGCGGUGAAAUGCGUAGAUAUCAGGAGGAACACCGAUGGCGAAAGCAGUCUCCUGGCCAAAUACUGACGCUGAGGUACGAAAGCUAGGGUAGCAAACAGGAUUAGAAACCCGGGUAGUCC